GCAAAACCUGGGUAACUCCACCAUGCAUCAAGAAAUCGAAUUGGUCUCGGGCCCUAGUCAGAGAUAUUUGAAGAGAGAAGGAUGGGGUUGUGAUCUAAGCCUCCUCUAGGUAAGCCCAUGAGAGUGAGAUUAGGAAAAAUAGUAAUCCAAUGAUGUGAAGACAAGGCUCUAUCAAUGCAGCUCAUUGAGGAGGUAUUCCUCUAGAUAAAAUGUAUGCCACUAAGUGAAAUAUCAAGAAGAUAAAGGUUAUUCACAAAAGACUAAAAUUGUCUCAUACUCACUAAGGAUGACCAGCCACUUUUUCUAUUAGAUAUAGAUAAAAUUUGAUUAAAGUCCCCUAUGAGAAGUAUAGGCCCAUCAAUUAACUCAAUGACAUGUGUUAAUU
rnacentral:misc_RNA from 1 species